UGAAACCCAUGAACACGGGUAUGGUGCUGACAAACCUAGAAACAUAAUCGGGGCGAACCGGGGUUCGAACCCACCAUGAUCAUAGGUUCCUGGCGUACCCAAGGGACGCAACUCUGCACAGCGACCUACGGCGCCCGAGACGAUUCAGCAACCCGUGCACCCCAAUGAGGGAAUGACCUUGGAAGUUCGGCCAGGAAGCAAACUUUUACAAAUGACAGAUUGGUUCUAUUUUAAACCAAAGGAAAGGCCAACAGGACGAGUGCCGUAGGUAACAAAACGUUGCCAGCAACUAUGAAGACGGCGGCAACAAGGCAGAAUUAGACGGACAGGGCACAGACGUAAGGCCGUGCGCACCUGUUACAGAACAUCAACUGAACACACGCCAGUAGUUUGUGACGUCAUCAGUUUGUCGGAACGAAGGAGAAUGGACCUCCUCAACGACAGUUGCAACGUGGGAGACGAUAAUACAACGCCCGGUCAUGAACCACAACAGCAACACCGCGUCUUCGACAUAUAACCAUUAGUUUCAAUUGCAUUUGAAAUUAUGAAUAAACAUCUGAAACUCGUUGU